UCCUGGCAAAAAUGCUCUAAACCUCCACGUGGUUCUUGCUGGACAAAUUAGUUAUUAGCUAAUUUGACCAAUUAGAGCAA
rnacentral:ribozyme from 1 species